rnacentral:tRNA from 1 species
GCUCGCGAUGGCCCAGUCAGUAGAGCAUGAGGCUCUCAAUCUCAGGCUUGUGGGUUCGAGCCCCAUGUUGGGCA